ensembl:lncRNA
AUUUUGGGGUUCAGGGUCACUUUUGGGGUCCCAGGGUUAUUUUGGGGGUCUCAGGAUCAUUUUGGGGCAGUUCAGGGUUAUUUUGGGGUGGCUCAGGGUCAGUUUUGGGGUCCCAGGGUUAUUUUGGGGUGGCUCAGGGUCAGUUUUGGGGUGCUCAGGAUUAUUUUGGGGUGGCUCAGGAUCAUUUUGGGGUCCCAGGGUUAUUUUGGGGUGCUCAGGGAUGAUUUUGGGGUGAAUUUGCGUUGAUUUGGGGUCGGCCCGAGGCCGCAGCCGCGGCUGAGAGAGACCUGGGGGGGGAGGGGCUUUUGGGGUCAUUUUGGGUCAUUUUGGGUCAUUUUGGGUCCUUUUGGGUUACUUUGGGUCAUUUUGGGUCAUUUUGGGUCCUUUUGAGCCCUUUUGGGUCCUUUUAGGUCCUUUUGGGUCAUUUUGGGCCCUUUUAGGUCAUUUUGGGUCACUUUGGUUCCUUUUGGGACCUUUUGGGUCAUUUUGGGGCCACUUUGGGUCACUUUGGGGCCACUUUGGGCCCUUUUUGGUCCCUUUUGGGGCCAUUUAGGGUCAUUUGGGGUCCUUUGGGACAUUUUGGGGCCAUUUUCGGGGUAUUUGAGGGAUAUUUCAGGGACAUUUUUGGGAUAUUUGGGGCCAUUUUGGGGCCAUUUUUGGGGACAUUUCAGGGACAUUUGGGGACAUUUUUGGGGUUACUUCAGGGAUAUUUUGGGGCAGUUUUGGGACAUUUCAGGGGCAUUUUCGGGAGGUUUCAGGGCAUUUUUUGGGGAUAUUUGGGACCAUUUUUGGGGCCAUUUCGGGGCAGGUUUUGGGCCAUUUUUGGGCAGUUUUGGGGACAUUUCAGGGUCACUUGGGGCGAUUUUUGGGGACAUUUCAGGGAUAUUUCAGGGUCAUUCGGGGUCGGUUUUUGGGGCAGUUUUUGGGACAUUUCAGGGCCGUUUUUGGGGCAGUUUUUGGGACAUUUCAGGGCGGUUUUUGGGGCAGUUUCUGGGACAUUUCAGGGCAGUUUUGGGGACAUUUCAGGGACAUUUCAGGGCGGUUUUUGGGGACAUUUCAGGGCGGUUUUGGGGGACAUUUCAGGGCGGUUUUUGGAGACAUUUCAGGGACAUUUCAGGGUCACUCGGGGUCGGUUUUUGGGGCAGUUCCUGGGAUAUUUCAGGGACAUUUCAGGUCGGUUUUUGGGGACAUUCCAGGGACAUUUCAGGGCCGUUUUUGGGGACAUUUCAGGGAUAUUUCAGGUCGGUUUUUGGGGACAUUUCAGGUCCAUUUCAGGGCAGUUUUUGGGGACAUUUCAGGGACAUUUCAGGGCCGUUUUUGGGGACAUUUCAGGGCAGUUUUUGGGACAUUCCAGGGACAUUUCAGGGCCGUUUUUGGGGACAUUUCAGGUCCAUUCCAGGGAUAUUUCAGGUUGGUUUUUGGGGACAUUUCAGGUCCAUUUCAGGGCCAUUUUUGGGGACAUUUCAGGUCGGUUUUUGGGGACAUUCCAGGUCCAUUCCAGGGACAUUUCAGGGAUAUUUCAGGGUGUUUUUUGGGGACAUUUCAGGAACAUUUCAGGGACAUUUCAGGGCCAUUUUUGGGGCCAUUUCAGGGACAUUUCAGGGCAGUUUUUGGGACAUUUCAGGGUGUUUUUUGGGGACAUUUCAGGGACAUUCCAGGGAUAUUUCAGGGCAGUUUUUGGGACAUUCCAGGGACAUUCCAGGGCAGUUUUUGGGGACAUUUCAGGGUCACUCGGGGUCGGUUUUUGGGGCAGUUCCUGGGAUAUUUCAGGUCCAUUCCAGGGGUAUUCCAGGGAUAUUUCAGGGCAGUUUUUGGGGACAUUUCAGGGACAUUCCAGGGCAGUUUUUGGGGACAUUUCAGGUCCAUUCCAGGGGUAUUCCAGGGAUAUUCC